GACGUAGGGCGCGAGCGUUGUCCGGAUUUAUUGGGCGUAAAGAGCUCGUAGGCGGCUCAUCGCGUCUGCCGUGAAAACCCGCAGCUCAACUGCGGGCUUGCGGUUGAUACGGGUGGGCUGGAGUUCGGUAGGGGAGACUGGAAUUCCUGGUGUAGCGGUGAAAUGCGCAGAUAUCAGGAAGAACACCCGGUGGCGAAGGCGGCUCUCUGGGACGGGUACUGACGCUGAGACGCGAAAGCGUGGGGAGCGAACAGG
rnacentral:rRNA from 1 species